GGGACACGUGGUAUCCUGUCUGAAUAUGGGGGGACCAUCCUCCAAGGCUAAAUACUCCUGACUGACCGAUAGUGAACCAGUACCGUGAGGGAAAGGCGAAAAGAACCCCGGCGAGGGGAGUGAAAAAGAACCUGAAACCGUGUACGUACAAGCAGUGGGAGCACGCUUCGGCGUGUGACUGCGUACCUUUUGUAUAAUGGGUCAGCGACUUAUAUUCUGUAGCAAGGUUAACCGAAUAGGGGAGCCGAAGGGAAACCGAGUCUUAACUGGGCGUUAAGUUGCAGGGUAUAGACCCGAAACCCGGUGAUCUAGCCAUGGGCAGGUUGAAGGUUGGGUAACACUAACUGGAGGACCGAACCGACUAAUGUUGAAAAAUUAGCGGAUGACUUGUGGCUGGGGGUGAAAGGCCAAUCAAACCGGGAGAUAGCUGGUUCUCCCCGAAAG
rnacentral:rRNA from 1 species